CUUUGUACGUAUAUUGUAAGUAUUAACGUUACAUUACUUUUUGUUAAUGUUAGCCACAAGUUGAAGGUAACGUCAGAAAAUGGGGGACCAAAAUGAGGACAAUUUACACAAGAUGGCCAACAAUAUAGUGGCCAUGUUAAGGACCACCUUGGGCAUUCAGGGACAGCCAAGGUCAGGUAGUGAGGAGCAGAGACCAC